rnacentral:rRNA from 1 species
CCUACGGGAGGCAGCAGUGAGGAAUAUUGGUCAAUGGACGAGAGUCUGAACCAGCCAAGUAGCGUGAAGGAUGACUGCCCUAUGGGUUGUAAACUUCUUUUAUACGGGAAUAAAACGUUCCACGUGUGGGAUUUUGUAUGUACCAUAUGAAUAAGGAUCGGCUAACUCCGUGCCAGCAGCCGCGGUAAUACGGAGGAUCCGAGCGUUAUCCGGAUUUAUUGGGUUUAAAGGGAGCGUAGGUGGAUUGUUAAGUCAGUUGUGAAAGUUUGCGGCUCAACCGUAAAAUUGCAGUUGAAACUGGCAGUCUUGAGUACAGUAGAGGUGGGCGGAAUUAGUGGUGUAGCGGUGAAAUGCUUAGAUAUCACGAAGAACUCCGAUUGCGAAGGCAGUUCACUAGACUGCAACUGACACUGAGGCUCGAAAGUGUGGGUAUCAAACAGGAUUAGAUACCCCUGUAGUC